rnacentral:rRNA from 1 species
CAGUGGGGAAUAUUGGACAAUGGGCGAAAGCCUGAUCCAGCCAUGCCGCGUGUGUGAAGAAGGUCUUCGGAUUGUAAAGCACUUUAAGUUGGGAGGAAGGGCAGUUACCUAAUACGUGAUUGUUUUGACGUUACCGACAGAAUAAGCACCGGCUAACUCUGUGCCAGCAGCCGCGGUAAUACAGAGGGUGCAAGCGUUAAUCGGAAUUACUGGGCGUAAAGCGCGCGUAGGUGGUUUGUUAAGUUGGAUGUGAAAUCCCCGGGCUUCAACCUGGGAACUGCAUUCAAAACUGACUGACUAGAGUAUGGUAGAGGGUGGUGGAAUUUUCCUGUGUAGCGGUGAAAUGCGUAGAUAUAGGAAGGAACACCAGUGGCGAAGGCGACCACCUGGACUAAUACUGACACUGAGGUGCG